GCAGCAGGAGCAGCAGCAGCAGUAGCAGCAGUGGCAGCAGUGGCAGUAGCGGCAGCAGCAACACCGACCGCGCGGGGGCCCGGCGCCGCUUCCGGGCAAUGGUGGAGCAGGUAGAUUUCAAGGCAAAGGGAUUCAUAAAGCAGCUCCUGUUCCUGGUGCUUGCUUAGAGUUUACCAAGUCCUCAACUGGAAAUGUCAGCGCGCUCCUUUGCCUUGCUUGCUGUGCCCACCCUCACGGAAGCUAACGUGCUGCUUGUGUUGGAAGGGCAAGACCAGGGGGUUCUUCCAACAGACUCUCAUGGUGUAAGUGUACACCACAAAUUCCACGUGCAGUUUCCCCCCAGCCUUUAAGUCAGAGCAUAGAGGCUGUUCAAGAGGAACAAGAUAGUUCAGAAAGCAGAGAACACUUGGCUGGGUCAAUGGGCUUUGGUAACGCUGUCUUCCGAGCUGAAAUUUGUCCUGGAUGACAAAGCCAGGUACUGAGAAGAGACCGAGGGGGAGACCCCUCACAGCCAUCAGAAGAUCCUACUGGUUACGUGCCGUUCCCAGUGCUUUGCCAAGAGAUGGCUCAGGAAAAAUCGCUUCUAGUUCACCCAAACCUGCAGCUCCCUUUGCUCCCCUUUGGGAAGGAAGCCUCUCCUCCAUCGCCCACUCACCCAGCCUUGCCUGGGACCUGCAGGGGUGCCUGCAACCGAGCAGGAGAGGAACUGCCACAGAGCCGCAUCCCACAGUUUCAGUGCUCUGACGAAUAAUCAUUUACUUGUUUAAUAACUGCAGAAAAGGACAGCCCAAUUCUUAUCAUCAGGCUCUCUAGAGAUUUGACAUCCUUGGCAUUGUAUCCUAAGAGGAAGGAAACUUCUCACUUCCCUAGCUAUUUCAGUUAUAUAAAUCAGUUGUUGAGGGAGAGUUUAACUGCUCUGCGCAGGGGAACCAAGGCAACUACACUUGGGCUCCCCACGGGCUAGGGAGAUGCUUUCUAUAAAUUAAAAAUACAAUGUUUAUAAAGUAUCAGUAAUUACAUGCAAGUACACUGGGAAAAAAUGUGAAAUCUAAUAGCUAGAAAAAAGCAACAACUUGAUUUUCUACUGGCAGUCAUGCCCUGGGUCUGUCAGAAAAUGUCCCCAGCAUGAAGCUGGUGGGUUGGGGUCUGUCACCAAACACCGACCACCCACCUCUCACGUUCUCCAUCCUCCUUGGAACUCCCUCGUCAGCUGGGUAAGUGGGUUCAGUGGCAGAAAAUUAAAGAACUAAUAAGAGACUAUUAAUAAGGGCUGGUGGGUUUGAAGAUAAAAGAGUUUUCUGGCAAAGAGAAAGUUGCUAUGGGCUGCAGAAAGAACAGUAAAAAGAUGGAUAAACCCUGAAAAUAGCUCUGGUAGCUCCAUGAGCAUAAAGGCACUGGUUUACAAUGGCAGGCAACCCAAAAGCAAAUGCUGCAGGUAUUCCAGUAUCUCACCUUGUUACUAACACCCUAAUUAUUCACUUUAGCAAGGACCGGGUCUGAGCUAAGCAACAGAAUCUAACGUGUGAGUAGAUUGCUGGACAAUGAAACUCUGACAAAGAGGGGGCAACUCACACGUGGCAAGUGUGUCUGAGUAUCUGCUUCUAGGGAAAUGGCGUGUUCCAAGCGAGUACCCUUCACAGCUAAUAUAAUUUGCUUAUUUUGCAAAUCUAGAGACCUAUUUGAUUAAAAGUAACGACUCAAGUGAGCAGGCAGGGAAGGUUCUGUCCUGCAAUGGGAAUUCUUGUCUUUCUCUGAAUGCCAACUUUGGAGCUCUCUCCUCUAACCCUCCUACUCCUAGAGGAGUAUGCUCUCCUGGGAUUAAGAUGGGUCAAUGGACUUGGUUGGUGUGAUUUAUUUUGCUUCGGUAAAAAUACAACAUUUAUUAUGCUAUGACCCCUGGCAUCUAAGACUCAGAUGCUCAACAGCCAGCCUACCUGUGCGCACACGGUACAACAGCUCAAAUGCCUUCAGUUUUCAAACCUGGGCAAGAAACAGCACUGGUCAGGUUUCCAAAAACGCACACACCACCUUGCUCUGCAGAAAAGGGAAUUAGUCAGCAAAGGGGUAUUCUUUAGGGUGUCUUCCCUCAUUGUUCUUUGGCUGCAACAUCCACUGAUAUUUUUGGUUGCAGACCAAAAUUGUGAAAUUGGGUACUCUGAGUCAGCCCAGAAAUGUAGAUGAGAUUGAAGCCUAGCAUUCUGCAAGGAAUGGAGGACACGACCAACUAGCCGGACAAGGGAAAUAUUUUUCAUACAUCUUCUCAAAGUGUUUUUUCUCUAAGCAAGAGAGCCACAGAGAUAUUUCACACCAAAGUAGUGGCCCACGGACACUGCUCAGUUCCUCAAGGGGACACGUUCCUCAGUUCCUCAAGGGGAUGCGAGCAGGCCGGGAGUUUUGAAAUGUGGGCAUUUUUAAUUCACUUUGUGUGAUUUUAAUCCAGUUUGUAUGGGCCUUGGCAGUACAAAAGCUUCAGGUCCUCCUCCCACAACGCUGGGCUCCUACAGGGAAAUGUGUGAGGGUUGUCUCCUGUUCCCCCGGGAGUGCUCAUAAAGAUGUGGCUGUGACCCGCUGAGUAAAGUCACCACUGUUUUUAAUUCCCUACCUGCCUUUGGGAAACUGCAACAACGCACAAGCCAGUUUCUCCAGGCUCAGCGGGCUCCUUAAAUUCAAGCUGAAGAUAUUAGGGCCACAAGCAGGCAAUCUCUCUCUGGUCCAAACAGCUGAACUCUAUUGAGACGAGAGACAUUCAGUUAUAGCUUAAUCUAGUAAUGACUUUGUAUUCUUUUUGCUGCAAUAAGGAGGUUAACAUUCUAUGGGGCUGCCUCUCGUGCACAAUCCUUGAAGCACUCAGCCUGUUAUGAUGGAAACCGGAUAAUUAACCUGGGAUGAGAGCUCGUUCCCAUUCUUGAAGUAGCUUUCAAAAGUUAGUAUGUUCGUUUGCUUUUCUUUUUAAACAAAAGUUGGGGUUUUGUAGUCCCCCACUCAUUGCUUAUAGACAAGUUUCUUCCUGCAAGACCCUCUGGAAUUGCUCACGGCAACAGGAAAUUAGGAUGUUUAAAAUGAAGCCAACUGGGAGCCAUGAAAUAGCCUGCGGCAUUUUGCUUGCUGCAGAGAGUAGCCCAUUGGACAGCGGGAUAUAGGGACCACUGGCACACAGACAUAAUUUCAGUUCUGCUUGCGUGAUAACAUCAUCUGUUUUACUCUCUGGGAGAUUUAGUCACUGUUUGAACAGUGCGCGUACUCAGGUUUGUAUAACACGUGUCAUUAAACUCUUGAAAAAGUCUUCAGAAAAAGAAGAAAUCAUCUGUACCACUCAGGCUGAGAGGAGAAGCUCCAUCUAAAAGCUCAAUCUACAAGAAGCCUGCCUGCUACAAAUACGUGUUUUCUUCCUUAAAACUUUGUGCUUGGGACAGUCAUGAGAAACGCUGAAGCACUUUGUAUGAUUUUCUUUGCACUUACUAGUGCUUUGUAUUCCACUAGUUCAAACAAAUAUCAGCAAUUUCUAAGUUGUUUAGUCAUUAUAUUUCAGGGUCCUUCUCAAAUUAGAGCAGAGAGAAAAGCUUUUUCGUGCCUUACAAUUUUUUUCUCGUUUGGAAUACGCUGCUAAAACGCUCUGAAGAGUCAGAAUUUGUUCAGUUAGUUACUUCUCAAUACUUAAAACUGACAACUAUUUUACCUACAGCAACUGCCACAGUGUACGCAGCUCCUAUGCACGCUCCUUCUUCUCUCUCUAGCUUUUCACCACACUUAUCACAAAGA